rnacentral:lncRNA from 1 species
CUAAGAACUAAUUUGCCUGAUUUUACAGAUGAGGAAACUAAGACUCAAGAGAAGACAAAUCUUGCCCAAGGUCCUAGAGCUAGUGUAUAAUAGAAUCAGGAUUUGAAUCUAGUUCUACAUUCUAUGAAAGCUUGUAACCUUCACACUACAUCACAAUUUCCUCCUUUUAAAGCAGAGCUGUGGUUUCCUUGUAGGGUAGGGGCAACUGUUCUCUAUCUCACUGAAGAUGUUUGUUCCUUGAAGACUUCAGAACAGAUGUGCUCAACCAUUUGAAAAGUUGGGACCCCACUAAAGCCUUAAUUGCAAAGAUGUCUUAAAACACGUGCAUGGUUUGAAUGCAUGUGUCCCUCCAAAAUUCAUAUGUUGGAACUUAAACCCCAAAGUAGUGGUAUUAAGAGGUGGGGCCUGUUGGGCCCAAUUAAGUCAUAAGAGUUCUGUACUCAUGAAUAGGACAGUGUCCUUAUAAAGAUGGCCUCAGAUAGCUGCCUGGCCCUUCCACUUCUCUUCUGCCAUAUGAGGACACAGCAGUUGUCCCUGUUUGCCCUUCCAUCCUUUCUCUCUUGUGAUUGCAGUGAGAAGGUGUCAUCUUGGAAGCAGAGAGAAAGCCUUUACCAGACACCAAGUCUGCUGGCACUUUGAUCUUGGACUUCCAGCCUCCAGAAGUGUGAGACGUAAAUUUCUAUUAUUUAUAAAUUACUCAGUCUAAGAUAUUUUGUUAUUGCAGCAGGAACAGGCUGUACUUUCUUGAUGGUGAGAACAAGUCUAGCCCUUUUCCCCUCUCAGUUCCUCCAGCCCCUGCAGCAGGUGUAGCAGGAACAUAUUCCUUGCAUGCUGAGGUUGGAGAGGCACUGCUUAGGUCACCUCUGAAUUGCUCAGCACAGGCUUGGCUCAGCUAGAUACUCAACAAUCUUCCUAUUUUUUUUUUGAAAAUGCAUUUUUUUUUCUUGCAUGCACUAACACAGAAAUAAGAGUCAUGUCUAACAAAUAAACUUCUGUCAAAUUUUGGCAUCCCUUUUCAGUUUUUUCUCAGUUCCACUUUUUUGCAUCAUUGUGAUUCCAGCUAAGCAAAUUCUUAGAUCUGUAUUCCCACCCAGCUGGAAACUACAGCUAUUUUUCCAUUUUUAAAAAUGCUCAGAAAGCAGUCUGUCGAGUUGGUGUAACAAUUAACUCCCCUAAUUUGAGAACUUUGGCUUUUCCAGUGUUAUGAAAUUUAUUCUAUUCCCAUUCACAGAGCAAAUAUUUACAAUAAAGGUUUCCAUCUGCUGGCAAAGAUGUAGUGAAAUAUGUACACGCUAUCAUUGUAAUGUAAACAGAAAGAUCCAGUUUGGUAAAUAUUUCGUGAUGUGUUCCUGGGGUCACAAAAUGUUCCAAG